GACGAACGCUGGCGGCGUGCUUAACACAUGCAAGUCGAACGGAAAGGCCCUGCUUUUGUGGGGUGCUCGAGUGGCGAACGGGUGAGUAACACGUGAGUAACCUGCCCUUGACUUUGGGAUAACUUCAGGAAACUGGGGCUAAUACCGGAUAGGAGCUCCUGCUGCAUGGUGGGGGUUGGAAAGUUUCGGCGGUUGGGGAUGGACUCGCGGCUUAUCAGCUUGUUGGUGGGGUAGUGGCUUACCAAGGCUUUGACGGGUAGCCGGCCUGAGAGGGUGACCGGCCACGUUGGGACUGAGAUACGGCCCAGACUCGUACGGGAGGCAGCAGUGGGGAAUAGUGCACAAUGGGCGGAAGCCUGAUGCAGCAACGCCGCGUGCGGGAUGACGGCCUUCGGGUUGUAAACCGCUGUCGCCUGUGACGAAGCGUGAGUGACGGUAAUGGGUAAAGAAGCACCGGCUAACUACGUG
rnacentral:rRNA from 1 species